CACUGCACCUGAACACAUCACACAAACUGCACCUGAACACAUCACACAUACUGCACUUGAACACAUCACAGGUAUUUCAGAGAGGCCACGCCCUUCUGGGAGGAGGCGGAGCUCGUUUUCUUGGGCUUGACGCUUUAAUGGAUUUUUUUUGACAGACACUGAAGGGGGCGGAGCCUCAGAUGGACACAUGACACCAGGGGAAGAGUAUGAACCGUCCUACUACAAACUGGAGGGGAACGGCACCAGCGCAUGCCUGGCCACCGGCUUCAGCCGCAACAACGGCACCAUAGACAAACCGCUGUUCAACACGUCGGAGGCCGAGCGGAUCCACGGAGACUCUCUGUACAACGACGUGGUCCUGACUGGACCUGAAAACCAGGACCAGUGUAAAGAUUCUGGACCGGUUCCAUGUGAGGAGUCUCUGCAACCCGAUCCCACGGUGAACUUCGUGUCUCUGACGGUCCUGGGUCUGCGUCUGCUCUUCAUCAAAACUGUGAUCUUCAAUGUCCUGAUGACGCUGCGUCUCUGGCUCCGCCCAUAAACGACGUCGAGCGUCGACUCAUGGUUUCGCUUCUUCUGCAUCGUAUAAAACUUCCAAAUAUCGCCGCUAACGUCGCCGUCGGCAACAGAAACGCUUCAUGUGGAUCAGUUUCAAUGUUUCAUCUGUUGGUGUAAAUAUCCGUUUAAAAUGUGUUUGAACGUUUCAAUAAAAGCUGAAAAAGGCUU